rnacentral:miRNA from 14 species
AGGUUGGGACUUUUGCAAUUUC